AUGGCGACUUGCAUUCGUAAGGUGGCCUCAGAGGAGUUUGGAGUGUCCAGGGGAAGGAGAAGCAAAGAUAAGGAUACCUGGUGGUGGAAUGAUGAUGUCCAGAAGGCGAUUAAAGAGAAGAAAGAUUGCUUCAGACGCCUAUACCUGGAUAGGAGUGCAGACAACAUAGAGAAGUACAAGAUGGCGAAGAAGGCCGCAAAGCGAGCUGUUGGUGAAGCAAGGGGUCGGGCAUAUGAGGGCCUCUACCAACGGUUAGGCACGAAGGAAGGCGAAAGGGACAUCUAUAAGAUGGCCAAGAUCCGAGAGAGGAAGACGAGGGAUAUUGGCCAAGUCAAAUGCAUCAAGGACGGAGCAGGCCAACUCUUGGUGAAGGACGAGGAGAUUAAGCAUAGAUGGAGGGAGUACUUCGACAAGCUGUUCAAUGGGGAGAAUGAGAGUUCUACCAUUGAACUGGACAACUCCUUUGAUGAGACCAGCAUGCGUUUUGUGCGGCGAAUCCAGGAGUCUGAGGUCAAGGAGGCUUUAAAAAGGAUGAAAGGAGGCAAGGCGAUGGGCCCUGAUUGUAUCCCCAUUGUGGUGUGGAAAGGUCUCGGGGACAUAGCGAUAGUAUGGCUAACCAAGCUUUUCAACCUCAUUUUUCGGGCAAACAAGAUGCCAGAAGAAUGGAGACGGAGUAUAUUAGUACCAAUCUUCAAGAACAAGGGGGGUGUUCAGAGUUGUACUAAUUACCGUGGAAUUAAGCUGAUGAGCCAUACAAUGAAGCUAUGGGAGAGAGUCAUUGAGCACCGCUUAAGAAGAAUGACAAGCGUGACCAAAAAUCAGUUUGGUUUCAUGCCUGGGAGGUCGACCAUGGAAGCCAUUUUCUUGGUACGACAACUUAUGGAGAGAUAUAGGGAGCAAAAGAAGGACUUGCAUAUGGUGUUCAUUGACUUGGAGAAGGCCUAUGAUAAGAUACCACGGAAUGUCAUGUGGUGGGCCUUGGAGAAACACAAAGUCCCAACAAAGUAUAUUACCCUCAUCAAGGACAUGUACGAUAAUGUUGUGACAAGUGUUCGAACAAGUGAUGUCGACACUGAUGACUUCCCGAUUAAGAUAGGACUGCAUCAAGGGUCAGCUUUGAGCCCUUAUCUUUUUGCAUUGGUGAUGGAUGAGGUCACAAGGGAUAUACAAGGAGAUAUCCCAUGGUGUAUGCUCUUUGCGGAUGAUGUGGUGCUAGUUGACGAUAGUCGGACGGGGGUAAAUAGGAAGUUAGAGUUAUGGAGACAAACCUUGGAAUCGAAAGGGUUUAGGCUUAGUAGAACUAAAACCGAGUACAUGAUGUGCGGUUUCAGUACUACUAGGUGUGAGGAGGAGGAGGUUAGCCUUGAUGGCCAGGUGGUGCCUCAGAAGGACACCUUUCGGUAUUUGGGGUCAAUGCUGCAGGAGGAUGGGGGUAUUGAUGAAGAUGUGAACCAUCGAAUCAAGGCCGGAUGGAUGAAGUGGCGCCAAGCUUCUGGCAUUCUCUGUGACAAGAGAGUGCCACAAAAGCUAAAAGGCAAGUUCUACAGGACGGCGGUUCAACCCGCAAUGUUGUAUGGCGCUGAGUGUUGGCCGACUAAAAGGCGACAUGUUCAACAGUUAGGUGUGGCGAAGAUGCGUAUGCUGAGAUGGAUAUGUGGCCACACGAGGAAGGAUCGAGUCCGGAAUGAUGAUAUACGAGAUAGAGUUGGGGUAACAUCGUCUGAGAUGGUUUGGGCUUAUUCAGCGCAGGCCUUCAGAAGCUCCAGUGCAUAG
rnacentral:rRNA from 1 species